CCGACGCCAUCUUGCCUGUUUUGUUGACAUCCGAUCGUCUUUUGUUUCGUUACCGCCGCUGUGUUUCCUUCCUUCCUUCUCAUGCUUUACCGAGUUAGAUAGACACUUUAUUUAUCUCUUUAUUUUAGUUUGUAUUGAUUCUUCUUUCCUUUCUUAUUUAAUUAUUUGGCUGUGCGCCGUAUAUGUGUUUCUUUAAUUUAAACUCAAAUGCUAUUUUUAACCCACAAACACCCCAUAAUGAUUGAUGUUGGUCUUGAAUGUAAUGAUUUUUUAAUACUUUUUUCUUUAGAGUAUAAGAGAAUAGUGUAUAAGCCUAAAUUUACAUAGACUUACGUAUACAAACAUUUUUUUCUUUAAAUUUGUAAGUAGUUCCUGACAUGACUUUGCUCCAUUGAUGUCUUGAAUGUGUAUUGUUAGUGUUAGUGUUAUCAUCAUUAUUAUUACCAUUAGUUUUGCCUAUAGCGUCAUGAACGGAUCUUUGCUGCUUGUUAUGUGUACGUAUACAUGAUAGAGUAUGCAUAAGGUCAUGAACGAAUGUCACCUUGCUGGUUAUAGUGUGUUGAUGAUGAACCUAGACGUGGUAAGGGCCACUUUCACAGUUCGCCAAGAUGGGUUAGUAAGCCUCCAAAACAAUACCAAAGACUUCAAAAAUUCCUUAUGUAGUGUUUGGCGUUGAUAUUUAAGAUGAGAAAGUUGAGGUAACCAUACGGGAAGUCUCUCUGGUGUUGCAUUGAAAGCCUAACCAAUGUAGAGUGUAGAAGAUUAAAUAGUUUGGUUCGAGCGACUACGAAGCCCCUGUGUUGGACCGUAAAAGUGGCUCUAAUAAGUCCACCAUAACGUAACAUAGCACACAGAGCGGCGAAAUAGAUUACUCAAGUUCAAGCGACGAAAAAGAUAACCCGAGGAAAAAUAUUCAACGCAAGAGAAAUGUCAGUGAAAAAAAUACGCAGAAAAAUGCGAGAAAAAAAAUCUAGAAAAGGAAUACCAGAGAGGAAAAAAAUACUCAAGGAAAAAUACUCCAGAAGAGGAAUAUCAGAGAAAAAUGCGAGAGAAAAGUGCCAGAGAGAAAAUAAUACUCGAAAUAACAUACUCAAGGAAAGGAAUAGCAGAAAGGAAAAAUAAUUGCCAGGGAAAAAUGUCAAAGGAAAAAUACUCAAGAAAAGGAAUAGAAAAAAAGAAAGUCCCGCUGUCCAAUUCUCAAUAGACUAAACUUUAACGAUCUCUUUGUAAACUCAGAUUGACUCCAUAAUGCCCACUAAUGAAGACGAGAGGCAUUCCAUCCAUAGCCAAGUCUUUUAAUUAGCGGCGCCGGGACGUUCAAUUAGGUUAGGAUGACCUUCACGAACGGCACACAAACGUUCCAUCAAUAAUCAAAACAGUCCAUUGUAAUCUCAGCAGUCAAAACAAUCCAUCCUAAUGACACGACGCGUUUCUUUAGCUUCAAUCAACUAAGGUAAACAGAGGGAGAGAAAGAGGGAGCGAGAGAGGGUGAGAGAUUGAGAGGGAGUGAGGGAGGGACACGGACGGUAGAGCAAUAGACAGAAAUAAGAACAAAGAAGCGAUGCCUGGUGCCGCUGAUGGAGGUGGUAGAGUGCGAAAAUGGAUACAAGGAUGGAGGAAAUGCUUGGCCUCUCAUUAUCAAACGUUUCGGCCUCUUGUUACGAACGUUUUCCAUUGCCACAGAGGAGAUACGUCGGGUUGUCAAUAGUGCUUUCCCGUUCGCGCCGUAAAAGCCUUGCAAAACUACCACCAGGCUCGGGAAACCACCCAUGGAAAACUCGACAGCUUUUACCAGAGCCUUUUUUAACAGAUGCACUAACGCCCCGUUCGGAAAGACUAUGUGCGACCCUUUCAUAACAACAUUUCACACCCAAGACCUCGUGUUCCCGGAGUCGCUGGGUUGUCGUUGCCCAGAGUCGGCACAGUGUGAACGGGGCUUAAGGCUUCGAAGAGUUUAAUCAUAUGGGCGCUGGUCUGCAAGCACUACGAAAAGUCUGAUCAAAUGUGGGUGAAUGUGUAAGUCUUUCGCCCCUCUUUGUAUCCAUUCUAUUGCUGCCUUGGGGAUGGGGUGAAGAUGAGGGUGGUGAGACUUUCUUCAGAUGCCUCGCUGGGACUCAUCUCGCCGCUGGGUGUGGUCACUAGGCCGGGCACUCACCCCUCGCCCGGCCACGCGUGUCCCGCAGCCUGGCAGGGUCCGAAUUUUAUGAGCACGUCCUUUUAUUUGCUCGCCAUUAAGACAGACCAAGGCGUGAGGUGGGGUUAGGAUGGGAAGGUAUGCACUGGAACCUUAGCAAAGAGAGGGGAAGAGGAUGGUGGAUAUAUUGAUACAUAGAUAGAUAGAUAGAUAGAUUGUUUGAUUAAUAAAAAGACAGGUUGACUAAUUAGUUGAUUGUUGGGCAGACUAUCAGGCAGAAAGAUAGAAAGAUAGACAAGUAAUCAUAUAAACAGAUGUGUAGAUCGAUGGACUGAUUCAUAGAUGAAGACAGACAUUAAGAUAGAUUGGUUGAGUGAUUGGUAAACAGGUAGACAGAUAGAUAGAUAGAUAGAUAGAUUAACUGUUUAACUGAUAGGUGGACAGGCAGACAGAUAGACAAAUAUGUAGACUGACUGAUAGAUAGACAGGUAAAGAGAUAGAUUAAUUGAUAGAUAGGCGGGCAGAUUGACAAAUAGAUAUAUUGAUUAAUUGACUGAUUAAUAGACAGAGAUAGAUCGAUAGGUAGAUAGAUAAGUAAAAUAUGAAUAGAUAUAUAGAUAAAUUGACCGAUAGAUGGAUGGAAUGACGGGUAACUUAUCUCCAGCAUCCUUCUUCACUCAGUAUACCCAGCAUCACCUCUCCUUCAUAAGUAUCCAAACCAUCUCAAUCUCGACUCCCUCGCUUUGUCUCCGAACCGUCAAACUGACACAAACCCACACACAAGAAAGUAAUCAAGGCACUCAGGCCCGUGUUCUCAGACGCUUCCGGCGCCCACAACAGCUAUUUCCAAAGGCCGCAAAGGAGAUGAGUUGGGUUCUCAUUAGCGUUUUUUUUUUUUUUUUUUUUUUUUUUUACAGCCCCGCCUAUAGCGCCGGUAGGCUUUCUUCAGGGGCCAGAUGAUCAGCCCAAGCCCGUCACGGCGCAGGCAAUUUUUAUAGUGGCGCCAGUUAUGCUUGGCUCAUGCUGCCCCCCGGAACUCAUUCUUGAUUCACUGGACGGUUGACCUGUCCGGGUUGAUGGUGGUCUUCUGGACAGCAUGUGGGUAGUCUAGGCCACUCGGCGGUGACAAAAAUCCCAGGUGGUAGCGUGGGGAUUCGAACCCAGCAUGCUAACCACUCAGCCACCGCCUACUCAUACUGUCAUGCUACCACUAGGCUCAUAAAACUAUCCUUCAUGGACAUACUAUACAUAACACAACCACUAUGAAAGCCUUAACAGUCGGUGGCCGAGUGGUCAGCGUGCGGGCGUGGUGAGCCCAUGGGCCUAGGUUCGAAUCCCACCAAAACACGCUGGUUUUUCAUACCAUCGUGCCGAGUGGCGUAAGAUUACCCACAUGCUGCCCAGAUCUUCAGUCAGCCCCAACCUCAGCGACUUUAGUCAAGAGGAGCACCGGGGGAAGCAUGGGCCAAGCGUGAGUCAUACAUCACGGCAGCCACCAUAAAUAAAAUCCGCCAGUGCUACUAACGGGCUGGGGCCGUCCAACUGGUACCCGAAGAGAGCCUACCGGCGCUAUAGGCAGCACCUUAAAAAUAAAUGUGGCUCAGCGUGAGGGUCCCGAUGUGUUUGAGAAUAAUCAAAGCAUAGACAAGAAGGCGUUCGUCAAAACAAAAUCAAAACAAAGCAAACGAAAACAAAAGAAGAUCAAGAAAACGACGCUUGAAAAUUAUUUCCUCUCCUGUAGGUAGUGAGGUAAAGAAGAUUAAAAGAGACGACACACUCUUGAAAAAUAUUACUUCUGCUCUACAUGUGUGAGGUAAAAGUCGUGUAUAGGUAAACUUAAGGGUAACUAAGCUAACUUUAAGGGUGACUACCAUAUGGAUGAGUCAGAGGUGUGAAGGGGAAACUCCUGGACGGGAAACGGAUGUGGUUCUGACGCAAAUGAUGACUUGAGUCACUCCUGCAUUGCUAGAUGAUGAUGAUGAUAAGAAUAUGAAUAAUAAUAAUAAUAACAUAAAGAAGGACAAGAGCAAGAGGAACAAGAACAAGAAUAUAAGUAAAUAGAAAAAUAAACAAGUGAUAAAUAGAUAAACACAUAGACAAAUAUAAACAUCAUGAAUCAAUAAGAGCAAACAAUAACGAGGCAUUUUCUGACUGAAUUAAAAUAGCAAGAACUCUCCGACACCUGGCGAGUGCAUUAUAACGCUAAGUACUGUUAUUAAUAAACCACUUAGUCAUUAUCAAUCGCUUAAAUAGGAAAUGCCAACAGACCACCAAAUAAAUAAAUAGGAACAUACAUUAAUAAAUCAAACGAAACCAAUUAAUUAAGAGAUCGUUGAAUUGACGAGCAAAUAUUCAGUUUAUGUAGAGGACGAAAUUCUUAAGAUAUAAUUGGAUAAAAAAAAAAAAAGAUAAUUAAUUGAAAAACAGUUGAGUGAGUUCACAUUCCCAGCGAGUCUUUCACACUGACACACUGCAGCGACCUCUCUCAGCGUGUGUGGAGAGGAAGAGGAUGAAGAAGAAGUAUGACUGUGGAGUGAAUGGAAGGAGUGAAGAAUGAAUGCGGAUGAAAACAAGGAAGAGGAAGAAGUGACUGUGGAGUGAAUGAAAGGAGUGAAGAAUGAGAGCGGAUGAAAACAAGAAAGAAGAAGUAUGACUGUGGAGUGAAUGGAAGGAGUGAAGAAUGAGAGCGGAUGAAAACAAGAAAGAAGAAGUAUGACUGUGGAGUGAAUGGAAGGAGUGAAGAAUGAGAGCGGAUGAAAACAAGAAAGAAGAAGUAUGACUGUAGAGUGAAUGGGAGGAGUGAAGAAUGAAUGCGAAUGAAAACAAGGAAGAGGAAGAAGUAUGACUGUGGAGUGAAUGAAAGGAAUGAAGAAUGAAUGCGAAAGAAAACGAGGAUGAGGAAGAAGUAUGACUGUGGAGUCAAUGAAAGGAAUGAAGAAUGAAUGCGAAUGAAAACGAGUAUGAGGAAGAAGUAUGACUGUGGAGUGAAUGAAAGGAGUGAAGAAUGAGAGCGAAUGAAAGUAAGGAAGAGGAAGAAGUAUGACUGUGGAGUGAAUGAAAGGAGUGAAGAAUGAGAGCGGAUGGGAACGAGGAAGAGGAAGAAGUAUGACUGUGGAGUGAAUGGAAGGAGUGAAGAAUGAGAGCGGAUGAAAACAAGAAAGAAGAAGUAUGACUGUAGAGCGAAUGGAAGGAGUGAAGAAUGAAUGCGGAUGAAAACAAGGAAGAGGAAGAAGUAUGACUGUGGAGUGAAUGGAAGGAGUGAAGAAUGAGUGCGAAUGAAAGUAAGGAAGAUGAAGAAGUAUAACUGUGGAGUGAAUGACAGGAGUGAAGAAUGAGUGCGAAUGAAAGUAAGGAAGAUGAAGAAGUAUGACUGUGGAGUGAAUGGAAGGAGUGAAGAAUGAAUGCGGAUGAAAACGAGGAAGAGGAAGAAAAGAGUGAGUGUUUGGAGAUGAUUGGAGUGAAUGAAUGGAACAAAAAAUGAGUGUGGAAUGAAAACAAAAAAGAGUAUGAUAAAAAGUGAGUGUGUGGAGUGAUUGAAUGGAGUAAGAAAUGAGUGUGGAAUGAAAACAAAAAAGAGUAUGAUAAAAAGUGAGUGUGUGGAGUGAUUGAAUGGAGUAAGAAAUGAGUGUGGAAUGAAAACGAGGAAGAGGAAGAAAAGAGUGAGUGUUUGGAGAUGACUGGAAUGAAUGAAUGGAGCAAGAAAUGAGUGUGGAAUGAAAACAAAAAAGAGUAAGAUAAAAAGUGAGUGUGUGGAGUGAUUGAGUGGAGUAAGAAAUGAGUGUGGAAAGAAAACGAAGAAAAGGAAUGAGGAAAGUGGAAUAAGUGUUUGGAGACGGGUAGAGUGUAUGGAAUGAGUUGUGAAUGGUGGAAAUGGAAUAUAGUGAUGGUGGUGGUUGUGGUGGUGGUGGAUGAAGUGGUGGUAGAUGGUAGAAAUGGAACUUAGGAGGAGGAGGUGGUUGUGGAUGAAUGAAGUGGAUGACAGAAGUGGUUUGUGGAUGGUGAAAAUGGCAAAUGGUUGUGGCGAUGGUGGGAGAUGAAAUGCUGGUAGAGAGUGGGAAUGCAAUGGUAGUAGUGGUGGUAGACUAGUAGUAGUGGUAGUAAGUGGUAGUCAUGGGGGGGGGGAUCGAAGGUUGCGUGAGGUGAGGACAAAAGGAGAGCGCUGGAGCAUGCAUGGCGGGACGCAUUCGCAAACACAGGGAGAGGAAGAUUGUGUGUGAGAUCGCGAAUGUCUUUUCUUUGCCUCGUCUGUGCAGCGGCGCGUGAAGAGAGAGAGAGAGAGAGAGAGAGAGAGAGAGAGAGAGAGAGAGAGAGAGAGAGAGAGAGAGAGAGAGAGAGAGAGAGAGAG